ACUUUCUCUCCCUCCCAAAGCACAAGCAGAGAUCUUUUUCUCUCCUUGUUCCUCCUCGAUGGUGCUGUUCUGAGUGUUUUGAUUACAUUAAAAAUCAGCUGGUCUCCAGAGUCAGCUUCAUCAUCGUCGUUGUUGAGAGAGUGUGUUCAAAAUCCUAUAGCUGAUCACCGUACACGGCGAUAAUGGCCGUGAAGAAGGGGGGACAGAGAAGGGGAAGGGGAAAGCUGGGAGAGCUAGAGGAAGCGGAGGAAGGAGAGGAUCUCCGGAGGCGAGGUGGAGACGGGGGAGGCAGCGUUGCAGGAGCGGGAGGCCACGGAGAAGGAGGUUGAGAGGUUGAGGAACGCUGUGAGGAGGCAGAGGAAGGAUUUGACUAUUUGAGUUCGAGGAUGCUUGAAGAGGAUGCUUGAUGAACGCUCCAAUUACCGCUACACACUCUCUUAACAACGACCAUGACAAAACCAACCGUGGAGACUAGUCGAUUUUGAACGGAAUCGCUGCAGUGAGAGUACUCAGAGCAGCGCUAUUGAAGAGGAAUGAGUCCACAUCAACUUUUCUAUGGCGCUUCGUGGACAGAAAUUGUUUGACAGAACUAUUCUGAAUUUCAAAGUGUAAUUUAAGAAUGAAUCUAGGUAAUUAUUAAUUUAAAAAGACUAUUUUAGAGUUCGAACAUAA